AGCAAGCAUUUACGGUAUCCGCGCUGAUGUAAUACCCCUGCUAAUAUCAACACAGCAAUGACUCGUACUUUUGGUAGCAGCGCGAGAGCGACCCAGAAAAAAAGGAACAAACACGACGCUGUUUCUUCGGAGAGUUUCUUCCUUGUUUCGACGUUGCCUUUGCGUUGUUGCUGAAAGUACGAUGAAUACUAACGAACUCGCCCUCUUUGCUAUCUUGCUACAGCAAUCACUCGCAGUUUUGAAAAGAAGUGCACCUUUAGCAUCGAUCGCCGGUUCUGCUUUGGCGCGUCUCAUCUGUGCUCCCUUCCAUGGGAGUGCACGGAGCAUGCGCCUGACCGAUCCGGCUGCUGCUAAUGAUUCUGCCGAAUUGGAACCUCCCCCAUGGAUUAUCGACAACCUCGACACCAGGAACCAUGGUGCAACAUUGCCAUGGGAAGACCGUAUAAAGCAAAGGAUCCUCGCCGGCAGCAUCCAGUGGGCACGGCGGCAACGCGUGGGUUAUGUGCUCAAACAAGUUUCUGCUUUUUCAACAGAUGAGACAGAAGAGAAGCAGAGCCAAGUGCUAGAUCUAUCGAGGAAUACGACUUGUGUUGGAUGCUAUCUUAGGUCUGCUCCUUCUUAUUAAACAGACAAAAUUAUGACUUCUGGCGGUCUACCCCUCCAACUACGAAGACAGGCCUAUACCGCGUAUAAUUGAAACUUAUGUUUAUAAUCAGGAAAUGAUUAUUGACGCUACUCCCACUGUCCACCCGCUGCUCACAAAACAAUUACUUAAGUUCAAUAACACCUUAAUUCUUAAAACUAGGUGCCCAGCCCUUUGGUUUCUUGCAUCGCACGAUUUUCAAAUGUGAUGCUCUAGCCGAUUCCGUUAAGUCACAUAUGACAGUGUUAGUGAAUCAGAGCAGGCUAUGGUAAUGUUUUCUAUAGAUUGCGUGCUUGCAGUAGCUGAUGAAAUAACAAAACUGGCCGAUGAGUUCCGAGAGGAUAUUUAAUUUCACUGGAGUGCUGUGAAUAGGUUGAUGUAGCCUGACGAAGUUAUUACCGACAACGUUAAUGAACCGGCCUGUUGUGAAGCGGUGGAUCUGUGUCGGUGCUACUUAUU